rnacentral:rRNA from 1 species
GACGUAGGGCGCGAGCGUUGUCCGGAUUUACUGGGCGUAAAGGGCGCGUAGGCGGCUUAACAAGUCACUUGUGAAAUCUCCGGGCUUAACUCGGAACGGCCAAGUGAAACUGUCAAGCUAGAGUGCAGAAGGGGCAAGUCGGAAUUCUUGGUGUAGCGGUGAAAGUGACGUAGAUAUCAAGAGGAACACCUGAGGUGAAGACGGGUUGCUGGGCUGACACUGACGCUGAGGCGCGAAAGCCAGGGGAGGCAAACGGG